CUGGCGGCAUGCUUUACACAUGCAAGUCGAACGGUAACAGGCCGCAAGGUGCUGACGAGUGGCGAACGGGUGAGUAAUGCAUCGGAACGUGCCCAAUCGUGGGGGAUAACGCAGCGAAAGCUGUGCUAAUACCGCAUACGAUCUGUGGAUGAAAGCGGGGGACUAAGCAGCAAUGUUUGGCCUCGCGCCUUUGGAGCGGCCGAUGUCAGAUUAGGUAGUUGGUGGGGUAAAGGCCUACCAAGCCGACGAUCUGUAGCUGGUCUGAGAGGACGACCAGCCACACUGGGACUGAGACACGGCCCAGACUCCUACGGGAGGCAGCAGUGGGGAAUUUUGGACAAUGGGGGCAACCCUGAUCCAGCAAUGCCGCGUGAGUGAAGAAGGCCUUCGGGUUGUAAAGCUCUUUUGUCAGGGAAGAAACAGCAGCUCUAACACAGUCUGCGAAUGACGGUACCUGAAGAAUAAGCACCGGCUAACUACGUG
rnacentral:rRNA from 1 species